rnacentral:rRNA from 1 species
ACCGGGCGGGGGGGCCUAUACAUGCAAGUCGAGCGCAGGAAGCAGGCAGAUCCCCUUCGGGGGUGAUGCCUGUGGAAUGAGCGGCGGACGGGUGAGUAACACGUGGGCAACCUGCCUGUAAGAUCGGAAUAACUCCGGGAAACCGGGGCUAAUGCCGGGUAAUCCUUUUUUUCGCAUGAGAGAGAGGUAAAAGAUGGCCUUUGGCUAUCACUUACAGAUGGGCCCGCGGCGCAUUAGCUAGUUGGUGAGGUAAUAGCUCACCAAGGCGACGAUGCGUAGCCGACCUGAGAGGGUGAUCGGCCACACUGGGACUGAGACACGGCCCAGACUCCUACGGGAGGCAGCAGUAGGGAAUCUUCCGCAAUGGACGAAAGUCUGACGGAGCAACGCCGCGUGAACGAUGAAGGUCUUCGGAUCGUAAAGUUCUGUUGUUAGGGAAGAACAAGUACCGUGCGAAUAGAGCGGUACCUUGACGGUACCUAACGAGGAAGCCCCGGCUAACUACGUGCCAGCAGCCGCGGUAAUACGUAGGGGGCAAGCGUUGUCCGGAAUUAUUGGGCGUAAAGCGCGCGCAGGCGGUUUCUUAAGUCUGAUGUGAAAGCCCACGGCUCAACCGUGGAGGGUCAUUGGAAACUGGGGAACUUGAGGACAGAAGAGGAGAGUGGAAUUCCACGUGUAGCGGUGAAAUGCGUAGAUAUGUGGAGGAACACCAGUGGCGAAGGCGACUCUCUGGUCUGUUUCUGACGCUGAGGUGCGAAAGCGUGGGUAGCAAACAGGAUUAGAUACCCUGGUAGUCCACG